rnacentral:rRNA from 1 species
CCCUUAGAUGUUCUGGGCCGCACGCGCGCUACACUGAUGCAUUCAACGAGUUUCUUCCUGGUCCGAGAGGAAUGGGUAACCUUUUGAAAGUGCAUCGUGAUAGGGAUAGACUAUUGCAAUUAUUGGUCUUCAACGAGGAAUUCCUAGUAGACGUAGUUCAUCAGACUGCAUCGAUUACGUCCCUGCCCUUUGUACACACCGACCGUCGCUCCUACCGAUUGAAUGCUCAGGUGAGCCAUUCGGACUUUCAUCAUGCUGGUUUCCAGUUUUGAUGAAGGAAAGUCUUGCGAACCUUAUCAUUUAGAGGAAGGAGAAGUCGUAACA